AUGGUUACCUCCACGCCAAGUACCACGACCCACAAGACCGAGAAUGCCAAGAACCCCUUCGAACUAUCAAGACCGCAGGACCACGCGGAUGACUACCGCACCGGAAUGUCAAGUACCUCUGCCGAAGACUCCCACCGAAGACACGUGUACGACUACUACAUAAACGAGUACCGAACGAAUCACCAAGACCUACGAGAACGACUUCGUGGACCGACAAGUACCAUGACGUCCGUCGAUCGCCAAGUACCCCUUCGGAUACGCAAGUUCCUCGAAGGUCCACCGAGGCCUAGUACGACUACAGGACCGGAACGAAGUACCACGAUGACCAUUGACAUGUACCACUACACCACACCAAAACGUCAAGACCGUCCCGGAUAUUGCCAAGUACCACUUCGGUUUCGAAACGCGACGAGUACCACGACUACCCACGAGGACCUUGGUUCCAUCAAGUUCGACUACCACGUGUGUACAACUACCGCCGCCGUGAGUUUCGACAAGACGUCGUGUGGCUCUAUUUCUACUACCGUCCCGGUGAUCACAGAUGAAUGA
rnacentral:rRNA from 1 species